rnacentral:rRNA from 1 species
CCUACGGGGGGCAGCAGUGGGGAAUAUUGGACAAUGGGGGCAACCCUGAUCCAGCCAUGCCGCGUGUGUGAAGAAGGCCCUCGGGUUGUAAAGCACUUUCAGUGAGGAAGAACGCCUGGUGGUUAAUACCCAUCAGGAAAGACAUCACUCACAGAAGAAGCACCGGCUAACUCCGUGCCAGCAGCCGCGGUAAUACGGAUGGUGCGAGCGUUAAUCGGAAUUACUGGGCGUAAAGCGCGCGUAGGUGGCUUGAUAAGCCGGUUGUGAAAGCCCCGGGCUCAACCUGGGAACGGCAUCCGGAACUGUCAAGCUAGAGUGCAGGAGAGGAAGGUAGAAUUCCCGGUGUAGCGGUGAAAUGCGUAGAGAUCGGGAGGAAUACCAGUGGCGAAGGCGGCCUUCUGGACUGACACUGACACUGAGGUGCGAAAGCGUGGGUAGCAAACAGGAUUAGAUACCCCGGUAGUC